rnacentral:misc_RNA from 1 species
CAAAUUUAUCCAUACAUACCCCAGUUUUCACCUACUAUACCUACUUACUCCUAUUGUGCCCCAAUAUCCCCCGAGUAUUCCUAGGUAUCCAUAUACACUCCUCUGUAAUACCUCUUGAUUCUCUUGAUCAAACGUUAUCCCUCUUCUUCAGGAAAUAAAAUUUGCUGAAAUUAGAAUUUCUGAUUUAUUUACAAUUUUUCCAAUCGAAAAGAACAAUAUUAGGAAUGAAAGAUGGAUGUUUCUGUUGAAGUAAGAACUGCAAUAAACGAAGCAAAGAAACAAGUCGUAGCUGCUAAAACAUCCCGUGAAUUGUCAGAUGUUAUUUUGAAAUUUGUUCACUUGUUGGAUAAAGGUUCAAUAUCUAGCGAGGACAGCUUACAAAAGGACCGUAUUUUAAGAAAUGGUACCUGGUCAGCCACUGGUAUCCCCUCAUAUUCAGCUGAGUUCAAGAAAGAGUUUCUAUCCCGACAAUAUGGUCAUUUUUGUGAGCAUAUUUUGAGGCACUCUGACCCCAGUUUUUUGAAAGAUGACAACUUCAGGACAGUAUUAUCCAGACUAUUCCUAGAAGGUCCUGCAGAUCUUUCUUUCCUUGCUCUGGUGUUGGCAUUUGGAUCCCUGACUCACACUGAUAAACUGAACUUUACUAUUUCAGUGCUUGAUGAUUUUGUUACCAGAAGUAAAUUAACUGAGUUGUUCAUGCUGCAAUGUCUGAGUGACUCAGGAAAGCAUUUAGGCGAAGAAUUAUUAACAGUUGUGACCUCGUUACCUGAUAAAUUAGCCAAUAAGAUGAAGCUAGCAUUGAAUGGAAGAUUUCAUCCAAAUGUGUACUAUAAAACUCUUGGUGGAGAAAUUAUAAAAACUUUAAUUGAAAUCCAUGAAGUUGCUUGCAAAACAAGUAACUAUUCAACGUCAUUUUUGUCCAAUCUCAUUGGUAAAAUUGCCCUACGUGGUUCAAUAGCCACCUUGUUUGAUGUGCUUCUACCACAGUUGAAAGAAUGGUGUUACAGAAGCCCAUUAUGGUCAAAUAUUUGUUCAAAGUUGCUCACAGAAGUCCCAGAAUCUGCCUUGGAGCCUGUCAUUGAGUGUCUCUUAAAGAAGAUUGCAUUUUACCCAUUCUUCUCGAAGAUUUUGAGGGAUAAUGUAGUUACAAAUUCACUCAUCAAACAUCUCAUAACACACAAAUUCUUGUUGGUGAGAUUCUAUAAAGAGCCAAGCGUACUACAAAAUAUUGUGGGUUACCUAUGUGCAGACACUCGAAGGCAUAUUCUUGUUGAUGUACUUAAAACAAUGUUAGAGCAAUGGGCUAAAUCGAACAUCAUAAAACACAUGUCGUAUGAGCAGCAUUUUUAUCUAACCCAAGUGAUUAUUUUGGCCACAGUUCAAAUGAAUGAAAGUGAAGUUGUUGAACAUAAAAGUGAAAUACUUAAUAAAAUGUUAUCUGGAGUUCAGGCACACUUGGAUAACGCAAACAACAAGAUACGUCAAAUUGGAAUGGUUGUCGCUGAAUGUAUCACAGCACGCUUGCAUCCUGAUACAGAGAAACUGAAGUUUGACAUUGUUGUGGAUGAUGAUGUUGAAAAGUUGCGAUCUCUGGCCUCUAUGCCAGCAUUUAGCCCUGACGUUGAAAAAGAAAACUUUUUGACAAAGGAGGAUGUGAUUGUGAGUAAUGAUUUGGAAGAAAAAUUGGCAAAUGAUAGUCAGAGAAAUCAUGAUGGAAAAACACAGAUAAAUAAUCAUAUUGAGGAUAGUUAUGAUGAUGAUUUGCAACCGUAUGAAUUGUCUGAAGGUGAUGAUGAUCUCAUUGAGGGGAUACGACCACCAAAAUACAUAUCCCAAUGCAUUGAUGGAUUAUUAUCUAAUGAUGAUCCUAAAAGACACAUUGCAUCAUUACGUGUCCUGACAAAGGUUUUGAAGAAUGAUGGUCAUAAUCUUAGUCAUCAAUGUGUUCAGCUUGUUACCAUUCUCCUACACUUGCAGGACAAGUACUCGUUAGAAGAUUAUAACGAGCUCAGGUUUGCGGCAAUGGUUGAAAUCACUGUCCAAUGUCCUGUUGAGGCAGCUGGUUAUUUGACGAAGGAAUUUUAUGCUCAGAAUUACAGUUUAAGACAAAGAAUGGAUAUACUUGAUGUGCUUGCCAGGGCUGCAACUGAGUUAUCAAAGCCAGAGUUCAGUAGCAAUUCUUCUGCAAUUCAUCCAAAGAAUGGAGCUUCACUUGGUUUUUCACACAACUCCGAGGUCUCUGAACCUGGAAAUUGGAAGACCAUUGUCCAAGAAAGAAUUGAUAAAAAAACAAGACGAUUUAGCAAGAAAGCGUCAAUUGUUCCACCCAAAGCGGCACCGAAUCGGUUUGCAAAUGUUGCUGGGCAUUUCUUUUUUCCACUUCUGCAAGGUUUUGAUAAUCGUCAAAACACAUUUGAUCUUCUUGGUGAAGAUUGUGUGAUACUUGGAUCUCUGGUGAGCACUUUAGGGAAUAUCAUGUACUGUGCACGAGGAACACUUGUAGCUCAGAACAUGUCAAGGUCAUUACUUGAGGUUGUGUGGGUGUUAAGGUUUCAUAAUGAUGCCCAUGUUAGACAGAGUUUGUUGUUCUCUUUGGCAAUGGUUGUUGUUAGUGUGCCAGCGUUUUUCCUCAUGACUGAAGUUCAAAGUGAGUUAGCUGAGUGUCAAAGUUGGUUAGAGAACAUCCUUAAUAAUGAUCCAAGUGCUCAAUGCCGUGAACUUGCACUGCAAGUCCUCGUGUCGAUUAGAGAUGUCUUCAAAAAACAUUUUCAAAGUGAAGAAAGCUAGUGUAGUGUAUUCAAUAGUUAGUGUAUUCAAUGUUUAGUGUAUUUGUUGGUGAAUAAAAUAAUGUUGCAAUUAAACUGUUUAUUGUUUUCUCAGUUGUUACUUUGAUUAGUUGUAGCUAAGUUGUUACUUUUUUUUGCAAAUUCUUCGCAUAAAUUGCGCUCAAUUUAUCAUAAUCAACGGUAAUCAUAAUUAGCAUAAUUAUGUUAAAAUAAUACGUAACUAUUUUAUUUUUGAUCUUUACUAAAAUGCGGAAGUCAAACUGAGAUUUAUCCAAAAAAGUCAAAAAGUCCUCGUGAAAAUGUACACAGAAUACUAACCAAAUCGUACUCAAAUUAAAGUGGCCAAGAAAAUGUCUGUGACAAGCGAUUGUAAGGUUGAUCAAUCAUUGUCACGAAACAGUUCAGAGUUUUACUGUACUGAGGAAGAACUAUAUGAUAGUUUUAUGGAAAUUGUCAAUGACCCUGAGCUUCAAGGCAAUAGCAGUAACCAAAGUGGGAUUUCUUCUGAUUCCCAGACACACAACAAUAGUGGAAACUGCAAUAACAUGUCUGAGAAGACAGUUGGUGAUAGCUCUGUGACAAUUGAAGAGAACCUUGACAAAAGUAAUAUGGCAGCUUGUGAUAGCGGCUCUAAAGAACAUUCAG